rnacentral:rRNA from 1 species
CCUACGGGGGGCAGCAGUGGGGAAUUUUGGACAAUGGGGGCAACCCUGAUCCAGCCAUGCCGCGUGUCUGAAGAAGGCCUUCGGGUUGUAAAGGACUUUUGUCCGGGAAGAAAAGCGCGAUGUUAAUACCAUUGCGUGCUGACGGUACCGGAAGAAUAAGCACCGGCUAACUACGUGCCAGCAGCCGCGGUAAUACGUAGGGUGCGAGCGUUAAUCGGAAUUACUGGGCGUAAAGCGGGCGCAGACGGUUACUUAAGCAGGAUGUGAAAUCCCCGGGCUCAACCUGGGAAUUGCGUUCUGAACUGGGUGGCUAGAGUGUGUCAGAGGGGGGUAGAAUUCCACGUGUAGCAGUGAAAUGCGUAGAGAUGUGGAGGAAUACCGAUGGCGAAGGCAGCCCCCUGGGAUGGCACUGACGUUCAUGCCCGAAAGCGUGGGUAGCAAACAGGAUUAGAUACCCGAGUAGUC